GACGAACGCUGGCGGCGUGCCUAAUACAUGCAAGUCGAACGAACCGCGGCUAAGUGCCUGCACUAAGUCAAGGUGAGUGGCGAACGGGUGAGUAACACGUGGGUAACCUACCUCAUAGUGGGGGAUAACAGUCGGAAACGACUGCUAAUACCGCAUAGGACAUAGGAUCACAUGAUCCAGUGAGGAAAGGUGGCGCAAGCUAUCGCUAAGAGAUGGACCCGCGGUGCAUUAGCUAGUUGGUAGGGUAAAGGCCUACCAAGGCGAUGAUGCAUAGCCGACCUGAGAGGGUGAUCGGCCACAUUGGGACUGAGACACGGCCCAAACUCCUACGGGAGGCAGCAGUAGGGAAUCUUCCGCAAUGGACGCAAGUCUGACGGAGCAACGCCGCGUGAGUGAAGAAGGUCUUCGGAUCGUAAAGCUCUGUUGUUAGAGAAGAACAGCGCAUAGAGUAACUGCUAUGCGUGUGACGGUAUCUAACCAGAAAGCCACGGCUAACUACGUG
rnacentral:rRNA from 1 species